ACAGCCAUAUCACGUUUCUAAACUGGUUCUCAUAUGAACACCAAAGUUAAGCAAGUCAAGCCUGGUCAGUACCUAGGUGGGUGACUGCUUGGAAUACCAGGUGCU